rnacentral:rRNA from 1 species
UAGAGUUUGAUUAUGGCUCAGAACGAACGCCGGCGGCAUGCCUAACACAUGCAAGUCGAACGAAGGCUUCGGCCUUAGUGGCGCACGGGUGCGUAACGCGUGGGAAUCUGCCCUUAGGUUCGGAAUAACAGCUGGAAACGGCUGCUAAUACCGGAUGAUAUCGCGAGAUCAAAGAUUUAUCGCCUGAGGAUGAGCCCGCGUUGGAUUAGGUAGUUGGUGGGGUAAAGGCCUACCAAGCCGACGAUCCAUAGCUGGUCUGAGAGGAUGAUCAGCCACACUGGGACUGAGACACGGCCCAGACUCCUACGGGAGGCAGCAGUGGGGAAUAUUGGACAAUGGGCGAAAGCCUGAUCCAGCAAUGCCGCGUGAGUGAUGAAGGCCCUAGGGUUGUAAAGCUCUUUUACCCGGGAAGAUAAUGACUGUACCGGGAGAAUAAGCCCCGGCUAACUCCGUGCCAGCAGCCGCGGUAAU